UUUUCUUCCUAGUGACAAAGAUCAGCACCU
rnacentral:piRNA from 1 species